GCGGAUUCUAAAAAACUAAAAUAAAGUAAAUUCUAAACAAUUAUGCUUUCAAGGUUAUAGUCUUUUAAUUAUUGGCAUAAUUUAUUUAAUACAAUAUUGAAUAAUAUCUUAAUAAGCGUUUUUAUAAUUUAUCCAUGUAGACAAUUAUUUUUUAACGAAUGUAUUAUAUAUUUCUACAAUCUCUAUUAUUUCUAUUGGAUGUAUACUGUAUAGAUGUAUUCUUCUUCUCCUUCAUGUUUAUCUCAACUGGUGGUCGGCCAACUUUGUCUUAAACGUUUACUUGAACCGAUCUCCCACAUACNAUUUCCAACAUCUUUACUGCUUCCGAUUCAUUUCUCUUUAACUGGCUUUCGGGACUUAUUCGAAGGAUUCUUGUCAACUACACAUUUGAUUUAAUUAAGCCUUACUUAUAGAAAUAGUACCAUGAUUUCAAAACACAAUAUCAAAUAGAUAAAAAUGGUAACAUUAUUUUGCUUUUUAAUAUAAUAAUUUAAAAUUUAAAAUAUAAAGUAGAAAAAAAAUAAUAAACAUACACUUAUAUGUUUAAAAUAUAAU